GGCGGGUCUCCCCGCAUGGUUUUUCGGAGCAACGGGUCAGGGGCGGAAGCCAGCAGCCCACUUUGAAGUCGCCAGUGCCGGGGGUUUGGCUCGCCACC
rnacentral:SRP_RNA from 1 species